UUUCCCAUUUUAGUACCAUGCAUCCUCUUCCCCACGGAUGUCUGGCUAUGCUAAUGGGACAGAGUGACCCUGUCAUAGUCUGAAGGGGAGGGUUGGUCCCUGUCCGUCUCUCCUACAUGAAAUGACAGCACAUUGCCUG